rnacentral:rRNA from 1 species
UACGGAGGGUGUAAGCGUUGUCCGGAUUUAUUGGGUUUAAAGGGUGCGUAGGCGGCCCGUUAAGUCAGUGGUGAAAUCCCAGGGCUCAACCCUGGAACUGCCAUUGAUACUGACGGGCUUGAGUUCGGUUAAGGCGGGCGGAACUGGUGGUGUAGCGGUGAAAUGCAUAGAUACCACCAAGAACCCCGAUUGCGUAGGCAGCUCGCUGAGCCGAAACUGACGCUGAGGCACGAAAGCGUGGGGAGCGAACAGG